UACGUAGGAUGCGAGCGUUAUCCGGAUUUAUUGGGUUUAAAGGGUGCGUAGGCGGAUUUUUAAGUCAGCGGUAAAAUGUCCGGGCUCAACCCGGGCCGGCCGUUGAAACUGGGGAUCUUGAGUGGGCGAGAAGUAUGCGGAAUGCGUGGUGUAGCGGUGAAAUGCAUAGAUAUCACGCAGAACUCCGAUUGCGAAGGCAGCAUACCGGCGCCCGGCUGACGCUGAGGCACGAAAGCGUGGGGAUCGAACAGG
rnacentral:rRNA from 1 species